rnacentral:rRNA from 1 species
AACGAACGCUGGCGGCAGGCUUAACACAUGCAAGUCGAACGCCUGUAGCAAUACAGGAGUGGCAGACGGGUGAGUAACACGUGGGAACGUGCCCAAAGGUACGGAACAACUCCGGGAAACUGGAGCUAAUACCGUAUGUGCCCGAAAGGGGAAAGAUUUAUCGCCUUUGGAUCGGCCCGCGUCUGAUUAGCUAGUUGGUAGGGUAAUGGCCUACCAAGGCGACGAUCAGUAGCUGGUCUGAGAGGAUGGCCAGCCACACUGGGACUGAGACACGGCCCAG